GACGAACGCUGGCGGCGUGCUUAACACAUGCAAGUCGAACGGAAAGGCCCUGCUUUUGUGGGGUGCUCGAGUGGCGAACGGGUGAGUAACACGUGAGUAACCUGCCCUUGACUUUGGGAUAACUUCAGGAAACUGGGGCUAAUACCGGAUAGGAGCUCCUGCUGCAUGGUGGGGGUUGGAAAGUUUCGGCGGUUGGGGAUGGACUCGCGGCUUAUCAGCUUGUUGGUGGGGUAGUGGCUUACCAAGGCUUGGACGGGUAGCCGGCCUGAGAGGGUGACCGGUCGUAGGGUGCGGGGGGGCCGCGCCCGGCGGCAGCGGGGGGGCGGAGUGGGGAAGAAGGCCAGAGGGCCGGGAGGUUGGUGCCGCAGAGCCGGGUGGGGUAUGGCGGGCGUCGGGCUGUCACCCGCUCGCGGCGGUGGGGAAGGGUGAGGGACGGGAAGGGGAAAAAAAGCACCUGCGACAUGCGGGCCAGCGGCUGGUUAAAAAUAGGACAAGCCGAGGUCUGACC
rnacentral:rRNA from 1 species